AACCAAGCCAGUUGACUAAUGUCCAUCUCAUACCGUGACCUCCCCCCCACUAAACAAAGAAUGAAGGCUGGUUUAGUAAUCAGGAAACAGUCACUGGUUAGGCAAAUGUUUUAAUAAUAGUCCUGUAGGGCCAUUGACGUAAACAUUAUCCACAACAUUUGAAUUUUGUUCAAGCCCUUUGCCAAGCUCAGUCUGAGCUGCCCACACUACAGUACACACUACAGUAGAUGGCUCACUUCAGGAAAAAGUCUGCUCCGACAGAGGACUGGCAAACGGCCUCGUCUAUUUAUGACUUCUCUGCAAAGGAUAUUGAUGGCAACGAGGUAUCCCUCGAGAAAUACAGGGGCGACGUUGUUAUCAUUGUCAAUGUUGCCUCUAAAUGAAGUAAAACCCCAGUCAACUACUCUCAGUUUGCGGAGAUGCAUUCAAAGUACGCUGAGAAAGGUUUACGCAUCCUGGCCUUCCCCUCCAACCAGUUCGGGAGACAGGAACCUGGCACUGAAUCUCAGAUCAAGAAUUUUGCCAAGUCCUACAAUGCUGAUUUCCCAAUGUUCAGUAAGAUCAAUGUGAACGGGCCCAACGCCCACCCCGUGUGGAAGUGGCUGAAGGAGCAGCCCAAGGGGAGAAGCUUCCUGGGAAAUGGCAUCAAGUGGAAUUUCACUAAGUUCCUUAUCAACAGAGAGGGCCAGGUUAUGAAGAGAUAUGGACCGAUGGGUGAUCCCAGCGCGGUGGAGAAGGAUCUUCCCAAGUACCUGUAAUUCUUUCAUCACUGACUGUCUAAUGCACUGAUGCUGCAUCUAUCCCUCACUCUCCGAUGAGCCAAUGCCUGGGAGUGGGUCCAUUCCCCAGACCAGUGACAGUCUGUCCGCAAACCAGCCUGGCUGGUAGGACAGACCUGAUGAAAACGGCGUGCAACCAAUCCCCUGGGAGGACCCGCUAUAGGCAUAGCCAGCCCCCACCGGAGAAGAAUCCUGACCCCCUGAAAAUAUGAUCUUAGUGUCAUAUUCCAUAAUAAACAUAACGCUUUUGUGCUAA